AUUGAACGCUGGCGGAAUGCUUUACACAUGCAAGUCGAACGGCAGCACGGACUUCGGUCUGGUGGCGAGUGGCGAACGGGUGAGUAACAUAUCGGAACGUAUCCAAUAAUGGGGGAUAACUAAUCGAAAGGUUGGCUAAUACCGCAUACGCCCUACGGGGGAAAGCUAGGGACCUUCGGGCCUGGCGUUAAUGGAGCGGCCGAUAUCUGAUUAGCUAGUUGGUGGGGUAAAGGCCCACCAAGGCGACGAUCAGUAGCUGGUCUGAGAGGACGACCAGCCACACUGGAACUGAGACACGGUCCAGACUCCUACGGGAGGCAGCAGUGGGGAAUUUUGGACAAUGGGCGCAAGCCUGAUCCAGCCAUUCCGCGUGAGUGAAGAAGGCCUUCGGGUUGUAAAGCUCUUUCGCAAGGGAAGAAAACUUACCCUCUAACAUAGGGUGAGGUUGACGGUACCUUGAUAAGAAGCACCGGCUAACUACGUGCCAGCCGCCGCUGUAA
rnacentral:rRNA from 1 species